rnacentral:tRNA from 1 species
GCCUUCGUGGUGUAGUGGUUCUGCAGGCUGGGCUGGUACUCCAGAGGUCCGGGGUUCGAUUCCCGGCGAAGGCA